CGUGGAAUAGGCGUCAACAAAAUAACCUUCGUUAGUUUUGUAUUGGCUUUAUACUUCUCAUUCCAGCAGAUCUUCGUUGCCUGAGAGAGAGAGAGUGAGCGACUUACGACGACCAGUGAGCUUAAAGGUAGGCAAUCUAGGGUUUUUUUCUACAAAUAUAUGACUUAGAUCUUCGUUGGUACAAGGUAUGCACGAUUUUGUGUUUGGUUUUAGCUAUUGAUUGUUAAAAGGUAGGGUUUUUGUGCGAUUUAUUUGGGGAUUUUGCGCGAUUUCUGCAAAUGUACAAUGGUUUUAAUUGAUUUGGAUUUGGUUGUAAUGAAUUAAUUAUUUUGGAUGAAGUUUGGAACAUUGGUUUGGUAUGCAAAACAGGACAUAACUUGGCAAAUUUUUUUAAAUUGAAGGAACUACAUGUGUUGAAUAUGGAACAAGGUAAAGGUAUUAGGUUUGGACUGAAAUACAGAGUGGGAAGUUAUGUUUAAUUACAGGCUUCUCAUCUUUUAGCUACACAAAAGACAAUCAGGUGGAGAUUUUGAAAGUAGUAUGCUCCAUGGAUUUAUUUAAUUGAAAGAUAAAUAUUUUAGUGUAUAUCUUUAUUAUUGUCCAUUACUUUCAACUUACUAUGCUUCUUUGUUCGUUGGAAUCUACAGAGAGAAGUGUGUCUGUCAGCCUAAGAACUCAUAUACAU
rnacentral:lncRNA from 1 species